AUUGAACGCUGGCGGCAGGCCUAACACAUGCAAGUCGAGCGGAUGAAGGGAGCUUGCUCCUGGAUUCAGCGGCGGACGGGUGAGUAAUGCCUAGGAAUCUGCCUGGUAGUGGGGGAUAACGUCCGGAAACGGGCGCUAAUACCGCAUACGUCCUGAGGGAGAAAGUGGGGGAUCUUCGGACCUCACGCUAUCAGAUGAGCCUAGGUCGGAUUAGCUAGUUGGUGGGGUAAAGGCCUACCGAGGCGACGAUCCGUAACUGGUCUGAGAGGAUGAUCAGUCACACUGGAACUGAGACACGGUCCAGACUCCUACGGGAGGCAGCAGUGGGGAAUAUUGGACAAUGGGCGAAAGCCUGAUCCAGCCAUGCCGCGUGUGUGAAGAAGGUCUUCGGAUUGUAAAGCACUUUAAGUUGGGAGGAAGAGCAGUAAGUUAAUACCUUGCUGUUUUGACGUUACCAACAGAAUAAGCACCGGCUAACUUCGUG
rnacentral:rRNA from 1 species